UACGUAGGGUGCAAGCGUUAAUCGGAAUUACUGGGCGUAAAGCGUGCGCAGGCGGUUUUGUAAGACAGGCGUGAAAUCCCCGGGCUCAACCUGGGAAUUGCGCUUGUGACUGCAAAGCUGGAGUGCGGCAGAGGGGGAUGGAAUUCCGCGUGUAGCAGUGAAAUGCGUAGAUAUGCGGAGGAACACCGAUGGCGAAGGCAAUCCCCUGGGCAUGCACUGACGCUCAUGCACGAAAGCGUGGGGAGCAAACAGG
rnacentral:rRNA from 1 species